AUAUGUGUGGCCAGCUGGUGAAGGUUAGGCUUCCUCUUAUUCUCCUUAACUUGUAUAUCUGUAGUUCAUUUUUUUUCAAGUAAUUGAACAUUUUGUUAAGGAUCUAUAGCUUAUGUGGUUUGUUCUGAUAGGUGGAGGUUCAAGUGAGGUAGUUGUAUUGGGUUAGCAGGGCCCUUCCAACUCUACCAAUUAAUCUCGAGGAUGCUGCUUGUAGUGAAGCUGAAAUUGAGAAGGCACUUCAGGCUGGUGAACAACUUGUUUUGUGUUAAUCAGGAUACACGUUUGAACUUUAGAAUACUUGACCUCAGAACCCGGCUAAUCAAGGAAUUUUCUCCAUUAGGUCUCAAGUUGAAAAUAUAAAGCAUUUCAUCUGAAUUUUCUUCUGAAGAGUUUACUUAUUUGUGUUCAUUCCUGAUUUGCAUGUUGUUCAUCAUGGUUGCUUUAAAUUUUAAAGUUACUGCAAUAAAUGUAUACUAAGACAUUUACAGAGUAUAUUUUCCCCAUGAUGCCAAGUUGAAUGGUCACAUUAUUUUUCAUUGCAUUGUUGGGUAGGCAUUCAGACAAUUCUUAUUAUUUGAACACUUUUGUCAAAUCCACCCUCAAAAAUUGAUUGCUGGGUCAAGUGAGAAUACCUUGCCCAAUCACCACAGCUUCACAAGCAUAUGGCAAUAUGUGCUGAUUUCGGCCGUGUUUUUGAGAUUCCUUCACACACAGACAUCUGUGUGAGUUUACUGGUCUUGAUGUUGAAACGGAGAUUAAGAAGCAUUAUCACGAGGUUAUGGAUAUAGUUGAUAGGUUGUUUGUCUCAAUAUUUGAUAGCUUGAACCAGAAUUGUAAGAGGGACCUUAAAGCUGUGGCACAAAGGUAAGCAUCUUCUAUUAAAAAAAAUGUAUUUUAUAUAUAUCAAACAUUCUUUUCUAGUCUAAAAAAUUUCUUUCUCCUUAAAAAAAAAAGAGUAAAUAUUGUUAA